GAUGAAGAACGUAGCGAAAUGCGAUAAGUAAUGUGAAUUGCAGAAUUCAGUGAAUCAUCGAAUCUUUGAACGCACAUUGCGCCCCUUGGUAUUCCGAGGGGCAUGUCUGUUCGAGCGUCAUAUUAACCACUCCCGCUUGCGGGGUCUUGGGCUUCGCCUCCGGGCGGGCCUUAAAAUCAGUGGCGGUGCCGUCGGGCUCUACGCGUAGUAAAUUUUCUCGCGAUAGGGUCCCGGUGGAUGCUUGCCAACAACCCCCAACUUCUUAAGGUUGACCUCGGAUCAGGUAGGGAUACCCGCUGAACUUAAGCAUAUCAAUAAGCGGAGGA
rnacentral:misc_RNA from 1 species